rnacentral:rRNA from 1 species
UACAGAGGGUGCAAGCGUUGUUCGGAGUUAUUGGGCGUAAAGCGCGUGUAGGCGGCUUUGCAAGUCGGGUGUGAAAGCCCUCAGCUCAACUGAGGAAGUGCGCCCGAAACUGCAGAGCUUGAGUGCCGGAGAGGGUGGCGGAAUUCCCCAAGUAGAGGUGAAAUCCGUAGAUAUGGGGAGGAACACCGGUGGCGAAGGCGGCCACCUGGACGGCAACUGACGCUGAGACGCGAAAGCGUGGGGAGCAAACAGG